rnacentral:rRNA from 1 species
AUUGAACGCUGGCGGCAGGCCUAACACAUGCAAGUCGAACGGCAGCACAGAAGAGCUUGCUCUUUGGGUGGCGAGUGGCAGACGGGGGAGUAAUGGCUGGGACACUGCCCGACGGAGGGGGACAACUACUGGAAACGGUAGCUAAUACCGCAUAACGUCGCAAGACCAAAGUGGGGGACAUUCGGGCCUCCCACCCUCGGAUGCGCCCAGAUGGGAUUAGCUAGUAGGUGGGUAAUGGCGCACCUAGGCGACGAUCCCUAGCUGGUCUGAGAGGAUGACCAGCCACACUGGAACUGAGACACGGUCCAGACUCCUACGGGAGGCAGCAGUGGGGAAUAUUGCACAAUGGGCGCAAGCCUGAUGCAGCCAUGCCGCGUGUAUGAAGAAGGCCUUCGGGUUGUAAAGUACUUUCAGCGGGGAGGAAGGCGGUGAGGUUAAUAACCUCGCCGAUUGACGUUACCCGCAGAAGAAGCACCGGCUAACUCCGUGCCAGCCGCCGCAGUAA